rnacentral:rRNA from 1 species
UACGUAUGGUGCAAGCGUUAUCCGGAUUCACUGGGUGUAAAGGGAGCGCAGGCGGCACGGCAAGCCUGAUGUGAAAGCCCGCGGCCCAACCGCGGGACUGCAUUGGGAACUACCGGGCUGAAGUGCCGGAGAGGUAGGCGGAAUUCCUAGUGUAGCGGUGAAAUGCGUAGAUAUUAGGAGGAACACCAGUGGCGAAGGCGGCCUACUGGACGGUGACUGACGCUGAGGCUCGAAAGCGUGGGGAGCAAACAGG